rnacentral:rRNA from 2 species
GGUUAAGCGACUAAGCGUACACGGUGGAUGCCCUGGCAGUCAGAGGCGAUGAAGGGCGUGCUAAUCUGCGAUAAGCGCCGGUAAGGUGAUAUGAACCGUUAUAACCGGCGAUACCCGAAUGGGGAAACCCAGUGUGAUUCGUCACACUAUCAUUAACUGAAUCCAUAGGUUAAUGAGGCGAACCGGGGGAACUGAAACAUCUAAGUACCCCGAGGAAAAGAAAUCAACCGAGAUUCCCCCAGUAGCGGCGAGCGAACGGGGAGGAGCCCAGAGCCUGAAUCAGCAUGUGUGUUAGUGGAAGCGUCUGGAAAGGCGCGCGAUACAGGGUGACAGCCCCGUACACAAAAGCGCAUGUGCUGUGAGCUCGAUGAGUAGGGCGGGACACGUGGUAUCCUGUCUGAAUAUGGGGGGACCAUCCUCCAAGGCUAAAUACUCCUGACUGACCGAUAGUGAACCAGUACCGUGAGGGAAAGGCGAAAAGAACCCCGGCGAGGGGAGUGAAAAAGAACCUGAAACCGUGUACGUACAAGCAGUGGGAGCACCCUUUGGGGUGUGACUGCGUACCUUUUGUAUAAUGGGUCAGCGACUUAUAUUCUGUAGCAAGGUUAACCG